UACGGGGGGGCAAGCGUUGUUCGGAAUUACUGGGCGUAAAGGGCUCGUAGGCGGCCACCGCAAGUCGACUGUGAAAUCUCCGGGCUUAACUCGGAAAGGUCAGCCGAUACUGCGGGGCUAGAGUGCAGAAGGGGCGAACUGGAAUUCUCGGUGUAGCGGUGAAAUGCGUAGAUAUCUGGAGGAAUACCGGUGGCGAAGGCGGCAUCCUGGACCGAGAUUGACACUGAUGAGGCGAAAGCCAGGGGAGCAAACGGG
rnacentral:rRNA from 1 species